rnacentral:rRNA from 2 species
GUAGUCAUAUGCUUGUCUCAAAGAUUAAGCCAUGCAUGUCUAAGUAUAAGCACUUUAUACUGUGAAACUGCGAAUGGCUCAUUAAAUCAGUUAUCGUUUAUUUGAUAGUACCUUACUACAUGGAUACCUGUGGUAAUUCUAGAGCUAAUACAUGCUGAAAACCCCGACUUCGGAAGGGGUGUAUUUAUUAGAUAAAAAACCAACGCCCUUCGGGGCUUCUUGGUGAUUCAUAAUAACUUAACGAAUCGCAUGGCCUUGCGCCGGCGAUGGUUCAUUCAAAUUUCUGCCCUAUCAACUUUCGAUGGUAGGAUAGUGGCCUACCAUGGUGGCAACGGGUAACGGGGAAU